GGGGAGAAAGGAAUCGAUAAGAGGGGUGGGAUUAACAUGUACCAACGCUGGUAUUUGUUUUGUUUAAAAAUGGGUUUUUUUUUGAACACCUUAAUACUUAAUACAGAGUUCACACAUUUCCAGGCACCUGCACAGAAGCCCUCAGUGGGGACUUUGCUGGCUGUCCUCAUGCAUGGGGCAAUCUGGGCUGAACAAGAGACGGAGCACAUGGGAGAGGCAUAAAAGAUUCUGAAACGCCUCCUAAAACUGCCCAGGAAAGCGGAACAUCCACGCAGCAAUUCACCUGCUGCUCCUCCGUUUUCCUGGUGCAGAUGGAACAGCGUGGGAAGGACUGCUGCUCCCCCAGCAGAUAGUGAGACGCUGAAGUCAUUUCCACUCCCACUUGUGCAUCCAAGCACGCGUUGGAGUUGUGGCACAGCUCUACUGGAGAAGACACACACAACAGGCAGUCAGCUGUAGGCCCCGAGUGCUGGCAGGAGCCAACGUGCAAGAGGAGCAGACUGCCUGGAACCUGGUUACAGCCCAUCUUCACUACAAAGAACUGUUAUGAGUAAUUGUUUAAUGUGGAGCUAAAGAAAUGCAUCCAUCUCCUUGUCAUCUUUAAUUUGCAGGAAAGUCCCUCUGAUACUCAGUCCUAACUUGCAUCAGUGAUGCAGAGCGUCGUAAAUAUUUUGACAAGCUUGGCUACCUGCAGCAUUCUCAGCAGCCCAGAAAGCUUCAAAUGGUCCUGAAGUUGUUUUUAAAGUAAUACUUAAUUAUUUGUAUGCAACACGAAUGAGUGUGAUAUUAGUGACUAGGAAGAAUUUAAACAUUAAGGAAUACAGUGCGAAUGCAUUACUAACGUGUAAAACAUUUUGUCCUUUCCUAUCUUGUUCUGAAGUAUGCUGAAUUGCAACCCUGGGGGGAAUGCGAUGGCAUUAUUCAUCCCUCAUUUCAAACAGCAGACAAAAAUAUCUGAAAUUAAAAUACCAUUUGUGAUAUUAAUACCUGGCAUAAAACUGAAAAUGAAUAAAAGCAAAUCCUACAAGUCA